ACUCUAGACAGAAAAAAAGUGAGGCUAACAGAGAGGUAUUUGGGGAGUUUUAAUGGUGGUUGCCCUCUCUCUGUUUGCCGGUGAUUUUUCCAUUUUCGCGAAGCAAACUUCAAACAAACCAUCAUUUAUGUUUAAGGGUCCUUUGGUUUUGCUGCUGUAUUGAAACUUCCGAUGAAGAAUCGGAAGUUUUUGCAGUAUGUAUGUGUACACACAUGUACAUCUAUGUAUCUAUAUAUAUAUAUAUUCUCAUACUUGAAGGAAGGUUUAGGGUUUAAGAUUUGACCCUUUUACUGUUUCUUCUUCUUCUUCUUUUUCCUCAUCAUCAUCAUCAUCAUCUGUGAAUCCCUUGAAAAGGGUUUUCGCGAUGGUUGAAGUUGUUGUUAUUAUUAUUAUUAUUAUUAUUUUUGUUGUUGUUGUUGUAAUGAAAGGGAAGAUAGGCUAUGAUGAUUAAGGUGUCUAGAGUUCAUAGGGUCAAAGGAGCAGGGUCCGUAUCUUGGCGGGGCGACCCGGUAGACAUUUUGGUAGUGAAACCGAGGUCUGCAGCCAUGGCGGAUGCAUUGUCUCCUUUGCUCUGAUUAUACAGAUCUGAGCCUUAAACUCGGAAGUUUCUGCAGUAUGUGUAUAUACACACAUUAAUUGUUCAUCUCUCUCUAUAUAUACAAUAUACAGGAAGAAGGGUUCAGGUUUAAGAUCUGAUUCUUUUGGUUCUUCGUUUUAUCAUCGUCAUUCAUCGUCGUCGUCAUUUUCACCUUCUUCAACCCUACCACUUUGUUACGGAUGAGAGGCUGUGAUGAUUAAGAUUUAGGUGUUUAGAGUUAAUGGGGCAAGGGAGCUGGACCUGUAUCUUGGGCUGGCAACCCAGAAGGCCUAUGUGUAGUGCAACUGAGGUCUGCAGCCAUUGGGGGUGCAUUGUCUCCUUCGCCUCGAUUAUACUUAUCUGAGCCUUAAUGAAGUCCAAUUUGCUUUGCAGUACCUUUUUCCUCAGUCAAUACUAACUUUGUUGGCAUUACUUAUGUUUCUGCUUAUCUGUAGGCUGUGAUGAUAUAGAGCUUGUUGAGUUAAUCGGGUUUUGGUCAGCUCAAACCAAAACUUGGUAAGGAUAACUAAACUGUGUUUUAAAUGGUGUAACGACUAUUGGGACGUAAUUGAGUGGAAGGGAUAUUAGGAAUUCACUUAGCUUAUCCAACUAGAUUGUUGUUGUAUGCUAUUCUUGUUUGCAGCUAUGGCGGUAUCCCUUUCAUUUUCCCGAUUUCGUGACAUAUCUGAGACUAGUUGAAUACUCAACUGAGAAUAAUUCGUCGAGAGUAGAACACUGGAGAAUAUGAAUUAGGCAGCAUUGUGAUGGGCAGUUUUUUGCAAUAUCUGAAUGUUAAUAGUUUUAUGCUAUCAUGGAUUCUACUUACCAGCCAUGGUGGCAUUCGUUCCUUGCUUACCGGUAAAUAGUCGUGUCUAGGCUGUCAUGCUAAGUUAUUUGACCGAUGAAUAGAACCAAGCUGUUCUUAGUGUAGUAAUGUAAAUAUGACCUUUGGGAAGAUAUAAUAAUAAUCUUCAAGUUGUUACUCUCUAGCUUACUGAUUCAGGUGUUCUUCAUCCGUAAAAACCACAGCUAAACUCGCUCUCUUAUGAAAGAACACAGAUAGCUUGUAGGUAGUGACCAAGGCUUCCAAGAAUGACUAUGUUACUAGGCUUUUGUAACCAAGGAUAUCGACCAAUCUAAACCUUCAUUUACUUAUGAAGAAAAAAUGGAAGCAAGUAAUAAUGUUAAGUCAAUUCUCUAACGAAAGUAGGGAAAACAAGUUUUAUCAAAAAUGUUUCAAGUUGAUCGUCUCCUUCCAAUAAUUCCGCCACUUGACCAUACUACACUCCACCACCAUUGAACCCCUUCUUCCUACCUCAUUCCAUUUACUAUUGGUAAAACAAUUUUGUUAGAAUAUCAAACUAUGAACAAAAGAAAGACAAACACGCUCUCAGUUACAACAUCUGAUGAUUAUUAAUGAGCUCCGAACAAUUGCUAUAUAUAUUUGCUAACUUUGAAUUCUAAGAUUGAAAAUAUUCAUCAUCAAACUUAUUAGGUAUAAUUUUAAAGUAAAAAUGUGUAAAGUAAAAAUAUAACAGGAAGAUACUACAUGUACUAAAUCCAAAGUUUGUGUUAAUGAAACUCUGGACGACGAGAGAGGCAUUGGGGAGUUAUUAAUGGUGGUUGCCCUCUCGCUGUUCUUCAGCCGAUGGUUUGUUUGGAUUGGCUUAAAUUGUGUGUUGUUUAGCUAAAAUAUACUCCAUAUUAACUGAAUUUAAGCACACUAUACUACUUCUCCUUCUUCAGGCUGUGAUGAUGACAAAUGAAGUUUUCUAGAGUUGGGUCAGGCAUAUUGGAGCCAUUGUUUUGCUAACUGAGGUCUGCAGCCAUGGUGGUUGCUUUGUCUCCUUUUUCCCUCGAUCUUGUGUUACAGAUCUGAACCUAUAGAAAAAGACCCUUUUGAAAACUGCUUCUGCUUCUUCACUUGUUGAUGCUGUAAUGAUGACAAAUGGAUUUUGGUCAGGUAUUGCAGCUGCACGUAUCUUGGCGGGGCGACCCGGUAAGGCAUUUUCAUUGUUUUGCAAACUGAGGUCUGCAGCCAUGGCGAUUGCUUUGUCUCUUUGUGCUUGAUUUUAUCUUAUAGAUCUGAGUCUCAAAAGAAAAAAUCAUUUCAGUAAUUAUUUGUGAACCCCUUUUUGUUAGAUUAGCUCAGAAUGAGGCAGCAGAGAGAGUUAUGGGAUUUCUAAUCAAGGGUGUUGCCCUUCUCUCUGUUUUGCUUAUGAUUCUUUCAUUUUCUAAACAAACCAACAGCCCUUAAAAAAGAGAAAGAGAAAAAGAUGGAUCACACUAGUUUCUGUUGUUAUUUCUUCCAGUCAUUUAGGUUCUGGGCGGUGAUUUUAUUGAGCUGAGUCUAUUGGAAACUUCUCUAGUCCCCAAAAAGGACCAGGGUAAGGUAUAUGUACCAUUGCUAGCUUUUAAUUAUAGGAUGAGGCUGUGAUGAUAACAAAUGAAGUUGUACAGAGUUGGGUGAGCAUUGGAGCUGCACGUAUCUUGGUGUGGUAGCCAGAAAGUCAUUCUGUUUUGCAGCCAUGGCGGUUGCUUUGUCUCCUUUUGCCUAGUUUUAUAAUGAAUCUGAGCCUCAGGAGAAAGGCUGAAAGACCUUGAAGUCUUGUGAAUUACCUUUUGUUAGGUUAGCCUAAAAAAGGCAAGAUCAAGAAUGAGGCAAUAGAGAGUGGGAUUUUUAUCAAGGGUGGUUGCCCUUCUCUCUAUGCUUUGCCUAUGAUUCUCCAUUUCUCAAAACAAACCAACUUCCCUUAAAAAAAGAAAGAGACAGAGAUACACUUGAGUUUCAUGGUUUCUUUGCAUUUUUGCACCCAAACAUAUGCUCACAAGGCAAUGCACACAACUAUACUAAAACAACCGCAUGACUAUGAAAAUUAUUAGAGAGACAGUGAUGAUUUCUGGGCUAUGUAAGUUUCGGGCAUGGAAAUUACCCACCGCGUAUCUUGGUGUGGCAACCCGAUAUGGCCUGUAAUUGAGACCCAUAACUCGCUAAUGCAAUCGUGUGUUGCAGCCAUGGCGUGGUUGACUUCUCUUUUGCCUUAUCAGAACACAAAUCUGAGUCUCAAUUUGCUUGAGAAAAUAGGGAAAAGGGUCAAAUUUACAACUUCACCAUGCAUAAGGGGCAAUAUAUAUUCCAUGAUAAAUGUGGGAGAUAUUGAAUUCACAUCCUUUUCAGGAGAAGUUAAAAUACUCACUACUAAGAUGCUCUCUAUUUCAAGGACUCUGAGAAUAUAAACUACAGUAAAUACCUCUCUAAAUUGGUACUCGAUAAAUAAAUAUGUUUUCUCAAAUAAUAUUUUCUCCUGCCCAGGCUUGGGCCAGUGGAAAAAAUGACUGAUAUCGAUAUAAUUUAUUUUCGGAAGACCUAUAAUAUGUGGUCCCGUUAUCUAAAGUAACAAUACAAUACAAUGGGUAAUAACCAUCCAAGCAAGUUGUUAUUGAUUCGUUCGGUUUAGAUACAAGUUAUGCUAGUAUGAUUGACGGAUUUACACAGGCAAUGAUGAUUUUAGCAACCUUUCAUUUCCUUGUGAGCUUAUUAAUCGGACAUUUGAGGUUAUCCGGCUCGUAUCUUGGCUGGGCAUAACCCCAGAUUUUCUGGUUUUUUGCAGCCAUGGCGUCGUUGGAUCUCUUUUUGCCCUGAAUGUAACACAGACCUGAGCCUCAUUUUCGGGAAACUCAUCUUUGUAUAAAUCUGAGGUUGCAGUUAAAACAGAGCUGUCGGGAGUUUCCAUGGGUGGUUUUGCCCCCCUCUGUCAUUCUCUGCUGCCAAUGAUCUUUCAAAUAAAAGUGUUUCCAAUUGCAAAACCACCCUUAAUUGAUUGAUUUAUUACUCCCUCUGUUCCACUUUUUAGAGGCAAUGAAGAUUGUUGUUUGUGAAAGAUGAAUCAAACAUUUUCCUCUUAAGCUCAAAGACUGUUAGUGUUUAGGCAGUUGGGCAAAAAAUGACCUAAAGUAAGUAUGUUCUGCAACUCUAGACGAACAAAUGAGGCGACGGAGAGGCACUGGGGAGUCUUUAAUGGUGGUUGUCCUCUCUCUGUUCUUCCGCUGAUGAUUUCCUUUUCAAAAUUUCACCAAAACCACCAUAGUUGAAAAAGGUCUAAUCACAUGUAUUUCGAGCGUUUUUGGGUUUCUGGCUUAUAUUAUGGGCUGUUGAGCUAUAAAAUAUACUGUCUCCUCCUUCCUAUGAGGCUGUGAUGAUGACAAAUGAAGUUGUCUAGUGUUGGGUCGGGCCUGUUGGAGCUUGCACAUAUCUUGGCUGGGCGAUCCAGUAAGGCAUUUCUAUUGUUUUGCUAACUGAGAUCUGCAGCCAUGGUGGUUGCUUUGUCUCCUUUUUGCUUGAUUUUAUCUCACAGAUCUGAGCCUCAAGAAAAAGACCUGUUUCCGUUUGUGCAAGUUAUUACUUGUGAGCCGCUUUUUGACUGGUUAGCUCAUAAUGAGGCAGCAGAGACAGUAAUGGGAUUUCUAUUCAAGGGUGGUUGCCCUUCUCUCUGCUUUGCCUAUGAUUCUUCCAUUUUUGAACGAACCAACAGCCCUUAAAAAAGAGAAAGAGAGAGAUGAAGUACACACUAGUUUCUGUUGUUUUCUUUCUUCCAUCACUUAGGUUCUGGACUGUAAUUUUCUUGAGCUGAGCUCUGUUGCAAACAACUUCUCUAGUCCCCCACAAAGGAUCGGGGUAUGGUCUAUGUACCCUUGCUAGCUUUUAAUUAUAGGAUGAGGCUGUGAUAAUAACAAAUGAAGUUGUAUAGAGUUGGGUUGGGCAUUGGAGCUGCACGUAUCUUGGCGGGGCUACCCAGUAAGGUAUUCCACUUUACAACUGAGUUCUCCAGCCAUGGCGAUUGCUUUGUCUCCUUUUCUCUGGUUUUAUAACAAAUCUGAGCCUUAGGAGAAAGAAUUAGCCGAAAGAUGCUUGAAGUCUUGUGAAUUCCCUUUUGUUAGGUCAGCCUAAAAAAGGCAAGAAUGAGGCAGCAGAGAGUAUGGGAUUUCUAUCAAGGGUGGUUGGCCUUCUCUCUAUGCUUUACUUAUGAUUCUCCAUUUCUCAAAACAAACCAACAGCCCUUCGAAAGAAAGAGACAGAGAGAGUACAAUUGAGUUUCUGGGUUUAUUUGCAGUUUGCACCCUUAAACAUGUCAUAAGGGAAUACACACAACUAUACUACAACAACAACUAUAAAAUGAUUAUGGAAACUAUUAAAGAGGCAGUGAUGAUUUCUGGGCUAGCAAGAUUUCGGGCAUGGAGAGUACCCAACCCGUACCUUGGCAUAACAACACGGUAUGGCCUGUAAUUGAGACGCAUAACUCACACAUGCAAUCGUGCGUUGCAGCCAUGGCGUGGUUGGCUUCUCUUUUUCCUCGUCAUUACACAAAUCUGAGCCUCAAUUUGCUAAAGAAAAAAGGGAAAAUGAUCAAAUUUGCCCCUUUACUAUGCAUAAGGGGCAAUAUCUUUUCCAUGAUCAUAGUGGGAGAUAUUGAGGUCUUCUCGUUUUAAGCUCUCAUAUAAGCAAAUUCCAUCUAUUAGGUUUGCCCAGAAAUAGAGAGAAUGAGGCUGCAGAGAGUAUGGGAUUUCUUUCAAGGGUGGUUGCCCCUGUCUGCUUUGCCUAUGAUUCUCCCCUUCUCAACAAACCAACAGCCUUUAAGAGAAAAAAAGAGCAACAUUGUACUUUAGUUUCUGGUUUUCUGGAUGAAAUUUCCCCAAUUUUCAAGUUUACCACAACAAUUACGCCGCCUUCAGAUCUUCAGUCUGUCUUCUCUUAGCUCUUUGCAUAUUUCUUCCCGUUUCUCUUAUUGUUAGUGUAAAACUGGAAAGUGUUCCAUUACGAUGCAUUCUGUUACAGAAAGGGGCUAUGAUGAUGCUUAUGUAUGGGCUGAUCAUGGAACAUUGAGAUGAACCGACCCGUAUCUUGGCGUGGCAACCCGGUUUGGCCUGUUGAGAACUUCUGUCUCUCUCUCAUGCAGUCGGUGUUUUGCAGCCAUGGCGAGACUGGCUUCUCUUUUGCCAUAUCAUUACAUACAUCUGAGCCACAAUUUGUUGAAGAACAUUAGUAGGCAUUUGGACAUUAUUGCAGUAUGACGAGUAUGAGGCAGCAGGGAGUAUGGGAUUUCUUUCAAGGGUGGUUGCCCCUCUCUACUUUGCCUAUGAUUCUACCCUUCUCAACAAACCAACAGCCCUUAAAAAAAGAAAAAAGAGAAAAUAUAUUCAACUUCAGUUUCUUGGUUUCUUAGGGUCCUGUUGUUGUGAUACAUACUCAAAAACCAAACACAAAACUAUACUACUUCAGUUAACUUGUUUCUUCAGUCUGUCUCCUUUAUGGCUUUGGAAACUCAUAAAAAGGCAGUGAUGAUAACUUUUUCUAAAUCUGGGAUAUCCAGUUGGGCAUGGAGACGAUCCAAUCCGUAUCUUGGCGUGGCAAUCCAGUAUGGCUGUGAUCGCUAAAAGUGUCUACCUGGCAUUAUGCUACCUGUGAUAAGAGUUUUCUUCUCUCACACACGCAACCAAUGUUUUGCAGCCAUGGCGUGGUUGACUUCUCUUUUGCCUUAUCAUACAUAUAUCUGAGCCUCAAUUUGCUAAAGAAAGUAUAUUUUUUUUAUGCCUGUAUAUGGAACCUUUUUGCAUACAAGUUAUAUUGUUGUUCCCUCGUAAUGUGUUGCCAAUCUUUUAUCCAUAAUAGCUCAAGAAUGAGGCAUUUGAGUGAAAUGUGGGAUUUUUGUGAUGGUGGCUGCCUUCCUCAUCUGUUUCGGCAUUGAGGCUACCUAACCCGUAUCUGGGCCAAAUCAGUGGAACAUUGACUGGUGAUUUGAGUCCUCUUUUGCAUGUACCACUGAUGUUUUGCAGCCAUGGCGUGGUUACCUUCCCUUUGCCUGAUCGUUUCUGCGGAUCUGAGCCUCGCCUUUUUUUGGCACCUGCAACUUUGUAUUCAAAGAUCAAUGCAGUCUCUUUUGCACACAUAUUUCAUCAAUAUCUUUCUUUAUCUUCAGUAUUAAAAUAGACGAAUGAGAUUUUUUCCUUUAGAUAUAUGUUGUUAGUUUCUAGUCUUCCUCAUCCAUUGCAGUACUUAAGCUUGAAGUUGGAAGAAUCAUGGCUGAAUGGUACUACUGUCUGUAACUUUCUUUGUUUUGUCUUAUGGUUUAAAUGAACUUUAUGCAUAUCUUCUAAAUUUUUUGCUCUUUGUUGCUGCCUUGGCUGGGAGAUUGUACCUUGGAAGCAGUUGUACAAGAUGUAGACAGCUUGUUUGGAGUCCAGGUGAAGGAUUCAAAGUCUUCAAACUUAGUAACACAAUACAAUCACUCUGAUUGUUUGUUAGCUAUAUCGGAGGAGUCUGAAAUCAACACGUAAGUGCUUGGUCAUCGAGUUUGUGAUCAACACCUAACAUAUUUUUUCCAUUCAAAUAUUGCCAUUUUGUUUUGAUUAUUUUUUGCUCUUUUGCUAGUGUUAAAUUAAAGAAAUUAAUUACCUCUUUUGGGAAAAUGAGCUAUGAGGGAGAAGAAUAUUAAUGAUGGACCCACAUGGUGUCAGUCAUUUACUUGAAAUUUGUUCCAAAUGCAGAUAUUUUGUCUGAAAAAUUGCCUCUAGAUUCUUCCAUAGAACAGUUUUUGGGUUAUAUAAACCACAAAAGAAAACUCACAAGUGAAAAAGUAGCAAAGAAGAGGUUAGCCCAGAAAACAAAAUGAGGCUAAACAGAGAGUUUUGGGAUUUUCAUUACAAGGGUGGUUGCCCCUCUCUUGUUUAACCAAUGAUUUUUUUCAGAUAGAUGAAGCAACAACCCUUGGAUUCUUAUUAAUUUCCUGGAAAUUAAUUGAAUCAUUGUAACCAGGAAAACAUACAUACAUACGUACGUACUACUACUAUAUAUAUAUAUAUAUAUAGCAAUUAUUCUGGCUGGCUUUCUGUUUCUGUACCCUCUCUAUGUUGGUUUUAUUUUAUCCAAACAAUUGAGGCAGUGAUGAUAAUGAUGAUGAUUCUGGGCUAACCGGAUCAGGCAUUGAGAUUAUAUGAUCCGUAUCUUGGCUUGGCGAAUCACACUGAUUAUGCAGCCAUGGCGUGGUCGCCUCUCUCUUUGCCUCGAUCUCUUUGCACAUCUGAGCCUCUAAUGAAACAACUUUUUGAUUCAUCGUUGAAAUUGGAAAAAUGUACCAAUUAUACCUGUGUUUUUUUUCAUCUUUGAUCCAUAAACAAUAGAGGCAGUGAUGAUGAUUUGUUUGAGUUCUGGACUAAUACAGUGAUUUUGCA